AUACGGGGGGUGCAAGCGUUAUUCGGAAUUAUUGGGCGUAAAGGGUGCGUAGGCGGUUUUGUAAGUCAGAUGUGAAAUCCUGGGGCUUAACUUCGGAACUGCAUUUGAUACUGCAAGACUUGAGUAUGGGAGAGGAGAGCGGAAUUCCUGGUGUAGAGGUGAAAUUCGUAGAUAUCAGGAGGAACACCGGUGGCGAAGGCGGCUCUCUGGACCAAUACUGACGCUGAGGCACGAAGGCGUGGGGAGC
rnacentral:rRNA from 1 species